UACGUAGGGGGGCAAGCGUUGUCCGGAUUUAUUGGGCGUAAAGAGCGUGUAGGCGGCCAGACAGGGUCCGUUUGUGAAAAACUCGAGGCUCAACCCUCGAGACGUCGAUGGAAACCGUCUGGCUAGAGUCCGGAAGAGGAGAGUGGAAUUCCUGGUGUAGCGGUGAAAUGCGCAGAUAUCAGGAGGAACACCAGUGGCGAAGGCGACUUUCCUGGCCUGUUUCUUUGACGCUGAGGCGCGAAAGCUAGGGAGCAAACGGG
rnacentral:rRNA from 1 species